GACGAACGCUGGCGGCGUGCUUAACACAUGCAAGUCGAACGAUGAAGCCUAGCUUGCUAGGUGGAUUAGUGGCGAACGGGUGAGUAAUACAUGAGUAACCUACCUUUAACUCUGGGAUAAGCCCGGGAAACUGGGUCUAAUACCGGAUACGACCAAUCUCCGCAUGGGGUGUUGGUGGAAAGCGUUAUGUAGUGGUUAUAGAUGGGCUCACGGCCUAUCAGCUUGUUGGUGAGGUAACGGCUCACCAAGGCGACGACGGGUAGCCGGCCUGAGAGGGUGACCGGCCACACUGGGACUGAGACACGGCCCAGACUCCUACGGGAGGCAGCAGUGGGGAAUAUUGCACAAUGGGCGCAAGCCUGAUGCAGCGACGCCGCGUGAGGGAUGACGGCCUUCGGGUUGUAAACCUCUGUUAGCAGGGAAGAAGAGAGAUUGACGGUACCUGCAGAGAAAGCGCCGGCUAACUACGUGCCAGCAGCCGCGGUAAUACGUAGGGCGCGAGCGUUGUCCGGAAUUAUUGGGCGUAAAGAGCUUGUAGGCGGUUUGUCGCGUCUGCUGUGAAGGCCGGGGCUUAACUCCGUGUAUUGCAGUGGGUACGGGCAGACUAGAGUGCAGUAGGGGAGACUGGAAUUCCUGGUGUAGCGGUGGAAUGCGCAGAUAUCAGGAGGAACACCGAUGGCGAAGGCAGGUCUCUGGGCUGUAACUGACGCUGAGAAGCGAAAGCAUGGGGAGCGAACAGGAUUAGAUACCCUGGUAGUCCAUGCCGUAAACGUUGGGCACUAGGUGUGGGGAACAUUCCACGUUUUCCGCGCCGUAGCUAACGCAUUAAGUGCCCCGCCUGGGGAGUACGGCCGCAAGGCUAAAACUCAAAGAAAUUGACGGGGGCCCGCACAAGCGGCGGAGCAUGCGGAUUAAUUCGAUGCAACGCGAAGAACCUUACCAAGGCUUGACAUAUACUGGACCGCAUCAGAGAUGGUGUUUCCCUUCGGGGCUGGUAUACAGGUGGUGCAUGGUUGUCGUCAGCUCGUGUCGUGAGAUGUUGGGUUAAGUCCCGCAACGAGCGCAACCCUCGUUCUAUGUUGCCAGCACGUAAUGGUGGGGACUCAUAGGAGACUGCCGGGGUCAACUCGGAGGAAGGUGGGGAUGACGUCAAAUCAUCAUGCCCCUUAUGUCUUGGGCUUCACGCAUGCUACAAUGGCCGGUACAGAGGGUUGCGAUACUGUGAGGUGGAGCUAAUCCCUAAAAGCCGGUCUCAGUUCGGAUUGGGGUCUGCAACUCGACCCCAUGAAGUCGGAGUCGCUAGUAAUCGCAGAUCAGCAACGCUGCGGUGAAUACGUUCCCGGGCCU
rnacentral:rRNA from 1 species